ACCGAGACCGAACCGACCUAACGCCUGUGCCUGUGCGUGCGCGCGCGCGCGUACAUUCGGGCAGAGGCGACAGGAAGCAGUACCCGCCCACCUACCUCCUCCGCGUAGGAGGAAGCCAGGUGUCCUUCGUGUCCCAAGAGCAAAGGAAUAAACACAUGAUCCAGGAGGAAGCAGGGAAAGUAAUUUUAAUACAGAAAGAAGAGGCAGAACAGAAAAAAGCAGGACAGGACACUGAGCAGAGGGAAAAAGACAAGUAA
rnacentral:lncRNA from 1 species